rnacentral:rRNA from 1 species
UGAGCAAUCUGCCCUUCUCAUCGGAAUAAGCGUUGGAAACGACGUCUAAUGCCGAAUACGACCUCCUUUCGCAUGAUCGGAGGUGGAAAGCUCCGGCGGAGAAGGAUGAGCUCGCGGCCUAUCAGCUAGUUGGUGAGGUAAAGGCUCACCAAGGCGACGACGGGUAGCCGGCCUGAGAGGGUGACCGGCCACACUGGGACUGAGACACGGCCCAGACUCCGUACGGGAGC